rnacentral:rRNA from 1 species
AAAAUUGCCCAAUCUUGACACAGGGAGGUAGUGACAAGAAAUAACAAUACAGGGCAUGCAUGUCCUGUAAUUGGAAUGAGUACAUUUUAGACCUUUGUAUGAGUAUCAAUUGGAGGGCAAGUCUGGUGCCAGCAGCCGCGGUAAUUCCAGCUCCAAUGGCAUAUAUUAAAAUUGUUGCGGUUAAAAAGCUCGUAGUUGGAUCUCUGUCAAGGGUGGUCGGUCUGCCUCCUGGGCAUGUACCUGGUUCAGCCUGGGCAUAUCUCUGGGACGUGUGUUUGCACUUGACUGUGUGGCAUGGUGUCCAGAGCUUUUACUUUGAGGAAAUUAGAAUGCUUCAAACAGGUAUAGGCCUUGAAUACGUUAGCAUGGAAUAUUAUUGCAUAGCAUUGUUUUUACUUUGUUGGUUUUUUGAGUGAUGUAAUGGUUAAUAGGGAUAGCUGGGGGCAUUUGUAUUUAAUUGUCAGAGGUGAAAUUCUUGGAUCUGUUAAAGACAGACUGCUGCGAAAGCUUUUGCCAAAAAUGUUUUCAUUGAUCAAGAACGAAAGUUAGGGGAUCGAAGACGAUCAGAUACCGUCCUAGUCUUAACCAUAAACCAUGCCAACUCGAGAUUGAAUGUUGUUAUCACCAUGACAUGUUCAGCAUCUCAUGAGAAAUCAAAGUCUUUGGGUUCCGGGGGGAGUAUGGUCGCAAGGCUGAAACUUAAAGGAAUUGACGGAAGGGCACCACCAGGAGUGGAGCCUG